CUCCAACACUCAGAACUCUGAAUGUAGCCCACGUCCAUUGUUCUCGUACCUUCUUCCAUAGCAGGAAGCUGCUCAUCUAGGACCUCGGGACAUGGUUUUGAAUGGAUUGUUAGAUCAUUUGUUUGAUCCUUUUCCAAUUUUGAGCUGCUCUUCUGGGGAAGAAAAUCUGCUCCACUUGCAGGAUACUUAAGUCCAGCAGUGGAGGAAGAAUAAUUGAAAGAGCCCACAGUUGAGUUCAAGGCAAAAAGACACUUGCUUCCAUGUGAGAAUGACUGAGAAUACUGUCUUGGUUGGGUAAAAGUCAUCAUGAAGAGGAUCAGGGACCUCUGCAUCUCCAAGUAUAUUUCUACCUCCCAGCUGUGAACCCAGACUAGGGCAUCCAUUGAAUAAACAAUGAUUCCAUA